AGAAUGCAGACCUGCCGGUGCAUGCCCUGUCAGUACCUUCCACAUUCAGGUCUUGAGGUGUGACCAUGAGGGCAGUGCAUCUGAUGGUAACUUCUUGUGGGUGUUUGCUUCUAGUUGUGGACACAGAGAGUGCUCUUUCAGCCCCUGAGCUAGAGCCAGAUUCCAUGCUGAUUCCAAGCUGGUAUCUCAAGCGUGAGUAGUCAAGUCUCUACUGCCUUACAAGAAUGAACACUCCAUUAUCCUACUUACUCAUGGGAAAUGUACCUUCAUAGGUUAACCUUCUUUUGUAACUCUAACCUAGGGAAGAAUGAUGACAAGGUCCCUGAAGAAUUCCCUGAAGGAGUCCCUGAAGUUCCAGAGGAGCUUCCGACAGCCUUGGAUGAAGCCUCAUCUGAGACAGAUUCUGAGUCUGUGCUGGAGACACUUCCUAUGGAAGAAAGUGACAGUGUGCCAGGCUCAGAUGACAAAACAGAACCAAUACAGGACACCAGCAUGCUUGCUGAGUCUGAGGAAGGUUCAGGGUCAGCUACUGUGCAAAAAGCCAAGACUGCUGGAUACUGUGACCCCAGCAAGUACUACAUCCUAGGGACAGUAACAGCCUUAGCUUUGAUUCUGCUUGGGGCAAUGUCCGGGUAUAUAGGCCUGUAUCAGCUGCUGAAGAGAGACAUGAAGACUUGGGAAGACAAAGAAGCACCAGGAGAAGUCUACACUGACUCUUCCUGGGAAAGCCAUGGUCAGCCUGGAGGUACAGGUGAAGCAGAGUCAGGAGAAGGAUCAGGAAGGGGCGGGAGAGCCCAAGUCAACAGGUUCAGGGACAGCUGCCACCUGUUUCCUGAGGUCUUUGCAGCAGAGCUUGCCCAAUUGUACAAGACCAUGGGUGCAGACCCCUCACCUCUGCCCACAUGUCCCUUCUGUGCUCUGGCUGAUGGUGCCUCUUCACAGGACCACUGGAUUUCCCUGGACUCACCUCAGCCCACACCAUCCUGGUGUCCCUGCUACCAGCACCAGCAGGAAUACUUUAUAUUAGAG
rnacentral:lncRNA from 1 species